UACGAAGGGGGCUAGCGUUGUUCGGAAUUACUGGGCGUAAAGGGCGCGUAGGCGGCCUCGUCCGUCCGGCGUGAAAUGCCUGGGCUCAACCCAGGAAUUGCGCUCGAUACAGCGAGGCUAGAGUGUGGGAGAGGUUGGUGGAAUUCCCAGUGUAGAGGUGAAAUUCGUAGAUAUUGGGAAGAACACCGGUGGCGAAGGCGGCCAACUGGACCACAACUGACGCUGAGGCGCGAAAGCGUGGGGAGCAAACAGG
rnacentral:rRNA from 2 species